CGAAUUGGGACAGCCGUCGUUGCGUGGCGGUGACAUAAUCGCACUUAAAAUGCGUACUUCAAGCGUGCAGACCCUGAAUUGGGACACAGCCAUUGGGUAGGAUGUUUUGUCGGGUAGGAUGGAUUCCCAGAACACCUGUUCACACCUGCGCUGCAAGGCCCUGCAAGGAGGAGAGGAGGAUGGCAGCACAAAGGAAGAACCUGGAUAUAAGAAAGUAUUUUUCAAAGAAACCUGUGACAGAGGAAGCUCUGCCAUGUUGUAGCUCGGACAGAGGUGAAGAGGCGAGGUCACAGAGAAAAGCUGGAGGGAAUCCGAAGGGGAAGAACGUGGACUUGCACAUCAUUAAGAAAGGCAACAUUAAUAUAUACGUUCUUCACAUUGGCAGUGUUUCUUUUUCCAAUUUGUGUAGCAUUUGUUCGAAAGUAUUUUCCAAUCUUUGAUUUUCUGGAGAUUGAUCUUUUUUUAGUUUUGUUAUUUUUUUUGUGGCUUUUCCUGUGAAUUGACAGAAUCAGAUUCAUCUACAAGGCUAACAGUACGAGACUGGUCCAGGUCAGAAUCAUCAUCAGACUCACUCAGGCUUUGGCUAAGUGGAGAAUCCAUUGGGGAAACC
ensembl:lncRNA